AUGGUCUGGGUAGAUCCAGAUGAAUGUAUUUUAGCGCUUGACGAAACAAGGAAAAUACCCAUUACAGACCAAGAAAUAAAUGAUGCAUUUGGUUUGCCACAAGGAAGCAGGACUAUUCCACCAGGUCACUCAGACUUAUCUGAAGUUUGUAUAGUGUUUAGCAGGUUGGCUUCAACCAUUAGUACCAAAAGCGUAUAUAGUUUGAAGGCCGCUCAAUUUAUCUUAUCUAAGACAAUAGAUGAGAAUUCAAGGAAAGUAGAGUGUGAAUGCUUCAAGAUAGCAUUUGUAAUCUUCUCAGUCGGCCAUGUCCUGAACCCAUGCGCUAAGCACGAUUACACUAGCGUCGAUUACUGGGCAGCACUGGUGGUGCCGUCGGAGAUAAAUUCCUACAACUGGUGUAGGCUUGUCAAAGACAGUUUGAUGAAAGGUGUGAGAAAAAACAAGACCGACGUUGACAAUGGGAACACAACAAUCGACAUAGUUGGAUGUCACCUUCUUCUCCAGGUUAUUGCUUUGGACAAGAUUGAAACAUCUAGCAAGCACAUCGAGCAGAAUAUACUACCAUGUGUGAAAGAUUUCGAUCACGAGUCAGUUAAGAAGGCAAUAGACUCGAUUACAUCCCAUCAAGUUACCACACAGGAGAUUGCUGAUCCUUCUUCUUCAAAGCGCACGGCUCGUGCUGCAAACAAGUUUAAGCCACGCAGCAUGAUGGGACCUGUUGAGUUUGCCAACAUAAUGCGCCGGAAAUACCCAAAUAUGUUCCGGAACAAAACAACAUCCGCCAAAACCUUGCACAGAUCGCGCCCGCGGAAACUUCGGACACCGAAGGAAGCUCAACUGGACAUGUCCAUCAAGCUCAUAAGAGAGAAUAUGUACACAUCAGCGACAAUAAUCACGACAACACAAACAUCGGUCAGAACAAGAAGCAACAUAGCAAUGAACAAGCCAGUUCCGUUCAGCACGUCAACCAAGCCCAUCUAUCAUUCUCACCAAGCCCAUCAGCAUUGCCCCCAGAUUCGUCUGCUGACCUCAUGA
rnacentral:rRNA from 1 species